GCGAAAACUUUACAAUGCUGGCAACAGCGAUAAGGGAACCUCGAGUGCCAGGUUACAAGUCUGGCUGUCGAGAUGCCUAAAAAGCAUUUCAUAGCAAGGGCCGGGCAAGACCGGUGCCAGCCGCCGCGGUAACACCGGCGGCUCGAGUGGUAACCGUUAUUAUUGGGUCUAAAGGGUCUGUAGCCGGCCGGAUAAGUCUCUUGAGAAAUCUGGCAGCUUAACUGUCAGGCUUUCGGGAGAUACUGUCUGGCUCGAGGCCGGGAGAGGUGAGAGGUACUUCAGGGGUAGGGGUGAAAUCUUGUAAUCCUUGAAGGACCACCAGUGGCGAAGGCGUCUCACCAGAACGGACCUGACGGCAAGGGACGAAAGCUAGGGGCACGAACC
rnacentral:rRNA from 1 species